rnacentral:rRNA from 1 species
GACGAACGCUGGCGGCGUGCUUAACACAUGCAAGUCGAACGAUGAAGCCGGAGCUUGCUCCGGUGGAUUAGUGGCGAACGGGUGAGUAACACGUGAGCAAUCUGCCCUUGACUCUGGGAUAACUGCGGGAAACUGUAGCUAAUACCGGAUACGACACCUUGGGGCAUCCCAGGGUGUGGAAAGAAUUUCGGUCAAGGAUGAGCUCGCGGCCUACCAGCUAGUUGGUGAGGUAAUGGCUCACCAAGGCGACGACGGGUAGCCGGCCUGAGAGGGUGACCGGCCACACUGGAACUGAGACACUGUCCAGACUCCUACGGGAGGCAGCAGUGGGGAAUAUUGCACAAUGGGCGAAAGCCUGAUGCAGCAACGCCGCGUGAGGGAUGAAGGCCUUCGGGUUGUAAACCUCUUUUAGCAGGGAAGAAGCGAAAGUGACGGUACCUGCAGAAAAAGCACCGGCUAACUACGUGCCAGCCGCCGCGGUAA